UUAUUUACCAGCGCUAUCAGAGCAGUCUUCUUGUGCGCCCUCUUUGCACGGGUUUCACCACCACGCAUAUUGUCAUUUGUGUAAAAUCUUAGUCAUUCUGUCAUUCAUUCUUGCAUCCUGUUUGUCAUUUAUUUCCUCGAAAAUCAAGUCAAAGGUCUCCAGAUCAAUCAUGGGCAACCGUCCACUCUCCGCGUCAUAUUAUGAAUGAGAGUUGAGGGUCCUCAGCCCAUGGAUUGCCAGAAGGGGUUCCACGAUGACCUUCAGAAACU